rnacentral:rRNA from 1 species
GAUGAACGCUGGCGGCGUGCCUAAUACAUGCAAGUCGAGCGAACGGACGCGUAGCUUGCUUCUCUGAUGUUAGCGGCGGACGGGUGAGUAACACGUGGAUCACCUACCUAUAAGACUGGGAUCACUUCGGGAAACCGGAGCUAAUCCCGGAUAAUCUUUUGAACCGCAUGGUUCAAAAGUGAAAGACGGUCUUGCUGUCUCUUAUAGAUGGUUCCGCGCUGCAUUAGCUAGUUGGUAAGGUCACGGCUUACCAAGGCAACGAUGCAUAGCCGACCUGAGAGAGUGAUCGGCCACACUGGAACUGAGACACGGUCCAGACUCCUACGGGAGGCAGCAGUAGGGAAUCUUCCGCAAUGGGCGAAAGCCUGACGGAGCAACGCCGCGUGAGUGAUGAAGGUCUUCGGAUCGUAAAACUCUGUUAUUAGGGAAGAACAUAUUUGUAAGUAACUGUGCACAUCUUGACGGUACCUAAUCAGAAAGCCACGGCUAACUACGUG